rnacentral:lncRNA from 12 species
UAACAGACGCGAGGCUUAAUGCCUAGAGGAGUAGCACAAGAGGCUGAGAUCGACUGAUUGAUUAUCAUUCACCCAGCAAAUAGUUGUUGAGAGCUUGGAGUAUUAUGGGAUUGGAAGACUUGUACUUGCUGCUCAUAGACCAGCUCCACAGGCCCUUCCUUUCUGUGAAAGGCCAAGCAUGUGGCUGUCUCUGUGCAGAAGGCCUCUGGACAGCACCAGUCCUGGGCUAAUUACCAGGGAGGCCAAAGCUCUCAGAGCAGACAAGGUGACUUGGGGUUGGCAGCCAUAACAUCUCCACAGUGGAACUCUGGUCUCCAGGCAGAAGCUGCUACAGCAAGCCACCGGCCAAGAUGCCUCCUGUCCCCUCAGGCCUAAUGAGAAGAGACAGGCCAACCACGGAGUCUGCUCGCCAGAAGCUGUGUCCCCCAACCGCUUGGAGCACCUCGGGGGCAGAGGAGUCCACACUACGCACCCUGCACCCUGGAUGGAGAGGACAGUGUGUCUGCGUUGUGACCUGAGCCGCAGGCCACCGUGCUGGGAAGUCCAGCAAUCCUGGUCUCUGCUGAUUCGUUCAGCGUUAGUGCCUCCUUGGCCCCUCGGCCACCGUGCGAGGCCUCCGCUAAAGUCUGGAGCACUACAGGCCGCGUGGUCCAUGCGGUCAUCUCCGGGCCACCUCCCGCGCCAGGGCACUGGAUGGUGCACGCCGGCCGUCCUUCAGGGACCUGCCUUACAACCAUUCGGCCUCCUGGUGUUGGUGGGGCUCCUCAUAAUGGAGUCAGGGUGUGGGUUUCUCAGAUGGGGCGAAAAUUUGGCACCCCUCAAAUCAACACUCUUCCUGGGUUUGCUCAGCAUCUAUAAUGAGGUGGGUGGGGGUGCAGGCAGGGGAGGCGAGAUCAGGGCCGCCCCCUCAGGGCCGCUGGGCUGCUGCAGCUCACCAGACUCUGCCUCCUUCGGAAACCUAAGGCACCUGCUCUAUCUUACGCACGAGCCUCGAGGCUCUAGCCCACAGCAGGCCCAGCAAAAUCUACCCAAAUCUCUGAGCACAGAGAGUCGUCUCCUGAGAGAUCUCUGUGUGAGCACGAUUUUCUCCAUCAUCACUGUGAACCAACCAAUGUCUCCGUGUCUCUACCGCUUCGGCCCAGUCAGGUCACAUGAUUUCUGGCUCACCCAUGGAUUUUAA